rnacentral:snoRNA from 1 species
CCUGCCCCUGGAGGCUCUACAGUAUAUGUCACAUGUGUGUCAGUCAGUAGGUGGCUGAAAGGAGAGGCUAUGUAUGUGCUCAGUGUUUUGACCUAUGAAUAUCUGAAUGACUAGUAGACUAAUAUA